CUUGCCCCCAUCAGCACGGGCAUCACCGGGCACAACCCGCGCUCCUCUGGUGACCCCUCAAGGCUUUGCAGCAUGAAAUCAGCAGCCGAAGGUGCUCGGGGCAGAGGGGGAGGAGGGCAAGGAGACGUCCCCAAAGUGCCCCCGCCGGCGCCGGUGCCACCCGCAGCCCCACGCCGCCUUUCCGUGACGUCGGCCCCUCCUCGCCGCGCGGUGCAGCUCCUUCGCUCGCCGCUUCCUGCCCCCGGCGGCGGCGCAACCACGGGCGAGGCGGCAGCAUUGCCCCACCGCCAGCGCCCCAGGCCCCACACGGACUCCGGUUCCCGCCCCGGGCUUCGGGGUCCCGGCUGGCGGAGGGACAUUGGCCCCAUGGAUGACGACCGCCCCCUCUUCAGCACCUUCAGACCCGAGGACAACGCAGCCAGCACCCAGCCGGGGCACGGCGCGACCCCGCUGCAGCCCCCGAGAGCGGAGCAGCCCCCGGAGCAACGAGAUGCUCAGGGCAGGGUAGGACGAGGGGCAGCAAAGGGUCCGGCCCCCCAGCUCCCCACCCCAGCACUCUCAGCCACCUGCAGGUACCGUGUCCUCACCCCAAAACCCCUGCAGGGACCGUCCAGCACCGCACACCGACCCGGCCCCUCUCCCACUCCCCAGGCACAGCCCCCACGUCUGCACACCGGGGCUGGGGGGGCUGGCAGCAGCCACCCACCGCCCCCCGGGGGGGGGCACGAAGGGGCACAGUGGGGCAGCGGAGCAUCCUCAGGCACCCUCUGCCCCGCGUCCCCCCGAGCCCCAGCCCCUGUCUGCUUCCUCCCAGGCGCCGCCGGGGUGGCCCCCGCCCGGGGGGGGCGCGCAGCCGGAGCUGGUGGCCCUGUGGGCGCGCACCAGGCUGUGGUUCGAGCAGACGCAGGCCAGGAGGCUGGGGGCCGAGGGCGAGCUCCCAGCCUGGUUCCACGGCUUCAUCAGCCGCAGGUGAGCAGGGGGUGACCCCGUCACAAGGCGGGGG
rnacentral:lncRNA from 1 species